rnacentral:miRNA from 12 species
ACUCGAAUACCAGUCCUGAACAA